GCGAGCGCAGCAGUCUACCGUCUCUCAACUCUCUCUCUUCGUCUCUUUCCCCGUCUGACAGUAGGAUAAAUUAUGGAGUAGAAAGAGACCUCGUCUCUCUUAGGUGAAGAAGAAGUGUCUGGCGUUUGUCUAUUCGCCCUCUCUGUGGUCCGUGGGAAGGCAUGACACGUGAAAAGUGCUGAAAUAUUCAGCUCCAGUGCGGCUCAGGAAUGCCAAGCUGGGAGACGCCGUGGUCUCUGCGUUCCCUGCUAAAAAAGUGUGUCGAGGGGUUUCCUUGUUAUUUGUCUCUCCCCAACUGAAGAGAAAUAAAGCAGAUUAAUUU